rnacentral:rRNA from 1 species
UACGAAGGAUGCAAGCGUUAUCCGGAUUCAUUGGGUUUAAAGGGCGCGUAGGUGGACUGAUAAGUCAGUGGUGAAAUCUUUGGGCUUAACCCAAAAAUUGCCAUUGAUACUGUCGGUCUUGAGUAUAGUUGCCGUUGACGGAAUAUGACAUGUAGUGGUGAAAUUCAUAGAGAUGUCAUAGAACACCGAUUGCGAAGGCAGCUGACGAAACUAUAACUGACGCUGAGGCUCGAAAGUGUGGGGAUCAAACAGG